GCCCGGAGCUGCUGAGAGAAGCAGCGAAUUUGAUUGAGGAAGCUCUGAGCAGAAGUCCAACGGCUCCCGCGGCACCGGUGACUCCGGCAGCUCAGUCACAGCAGAUACCGGCCGCUCAAUCACGUACACCUGUCCAAGCGGAGGUAGCAAGGCUCUUUGCGCCAUAUAACAUUGGAGCCAGAAGGAAUAUGACGAGACGACCAGCACAAGUCCAAGUUAGCCGAAGAAGCUACACACACACUGUCUGUUGUUUGGCUGACCACAAUGCGGAUAAAAUUCCAAGCGUACUGUUUAAAGCUGAACUUCUUACUUCAGGACUUGGAGAGCAAAAAGUAACAUUUUCAGGGAAUGACCACGAUCCCAUGGUUAUGUUUUGUGUCAGGAGGAAUGGGCCGAACACUGCUAUUUGAGGGUGAACCUGACCAUCUUGUUCCAGCAGCAUCAGAGGCACUUAUUGAAAGCAACCUCUUCCGGGUUGCAGGAAGGAUGUUGGGCCACACCUUUCUGCAUGAUGGUCCCCAUGUCACAGGACUAAGUCCUGCUGUAAUUCAUGUACUGUUCAAUGGGGACCCUGAAAUGGCUACUGUUGUUACAGAAGACUGUCCUGAUCUGCACAUCAGGAGCAUCAUAGAACUGCUUGAACAUGAAGAUCUUACACCGGAACAGAAGGACACAGUUUCAGAUCUUUCCAUGUCUUGGGAUCUUCCGGCAGUCACCAAAACAAAUCGGAGAUGGCUACAUAACAAACUUCUACUCCAUGCAGUGAGUUCCUGCUGGUUAAGUGACAGAAUUCAUCGCUGUACUUGUUGAAAUUAUAGAAUGUGUUGUGAACCCUGGCUUGUUAUGUUAACACGAGAGUUUAAGUACUAGAGUUUUAAUGGAUUUUUAUAAAGCACUUUAUUGUGUUUAUUAACAUUUUUCCUACUGUGCCAACUUUUGUCAAAUUUGGGUUAAGGAUUUGGAUCAAAAAUGUGAUAUUUGAUUUUCUCCAUAUUGCCCAGCCCUAAUGUCAAUGCAUACACAGUUCAGAUGAAUUGA